AGUGCACCAAAAGAAUUCUAGAGAGAGCAUAGUCUAAGAGAGAGAGAGAGAGAGGGAGAGAGUCAUGGGCCUCUGUGCAUGCCGAGCCCACAGUCACCGAGCCUCCUCUCCUCCUCCUCCUCCUCGUCCCCCUGAUCCACCACAGAAGCACGAAGACCCUCCUCCGCUUGCUCGUAAAUUGGCCAUAAGUCUCAGCCGGAAGCUGAGCUUUGGCCGGAAGAAGGAAGGCGAAGAUGAAGGAGGAGGAGGAGAUUUGAUUUGGAAGAAAACCAUUAUUUUGGGAGAACGCUGCAAGGUGCCAAGCUCUGAUGAUGAAGAGUCCAUUAUUUACGACGAUAAAGGGAAUAGGAUUGAGACAUACAGACCGAGGACGCCGAGAUCUUUAACUUUAUCUCGCUCUAACUCGGCCUUUGAUGAUGAGAAGACCAAGGACUCUUAGCACCAGGAAAAAUCAUAAAUACUCGCUUUCAGUAUUUUGGUGCGUUUGUUUUGGUGGAAUUUACGGUUAGUGGAUGACUCCAGUUCUACCAAUCCCAAUGCCACAUUUGUGGGACCCACGUGGAAAAUGCACGGUGCACCAUGGGGGUUUACAACAUAAAAGUAGGAAGCUGCCCCUUCCAGAUUCCAUAUGGCAUAGGAAGGCUUGGAUUUUUACUAGAACUGGCCAUUUCCAAAUAGAAUCCAAAGAGAUAUCAACAUUACGGACCCAAUCCAUAGAAAGGAGCUUAUACACUGAUCUGCUGAAAAAAAGUAUGUCCGUUUUUUAUUCCCAUAUGACCAAGUGUUCGACAUUCGAAGAGAUGUAAACUUGUUCAAGCUGUUGGAGGUGAUUAUGAAGCAACAAAAUAACCAUGUCUGGUAGCCUAUUGUAGCAGCAUCCGAUAUUCCAAACCAUACAAAUAGAGGGAGAAAGAGAAAUCAACUUUGAAAGUUUUGCGUCAGGUUGAGCAACUCUAGCAAAGAGGUCAAGAUAAGAAGAAGAGAAAGGUGCAUCACCAAGCUAUUUGUUGAACCAAAAGAAAGUGUCAUCUCUAUUGCCAAUAAGUUAUAUUGUAAUAAUCCUAAAAUUUCAAAAAAAAAACAAAAACAGCUUUUAA